rnacentral:rRNA from 1 species
AAAGGGAGCGUAGGCGGGUCGUUAAGUUGGGGGUGAAAUCCCGGGGCUCAACCUCGGAACUGCCUUCGAUACUGGCGACCUUGAGUAUGGGAGAGGUGAGUGGAACUCCGAGUGUAGAGGUGAAAUUCGUAGAUAUUCGGAAGAACACCAGUGGCGAAGGCGACUCACUGGCCCAUUACUGACGCUGAGGCUCGAAAGCGUGGGGAGCAAACAGGAUUAGAUACCCCUGU